GUCUACUGCCAUACCACCCUGAACACGAUCAAUCUCGUCUGAUCUUACAAGCUAAGCAGUGUCGGGCCUGGUUAGUACUUGGAUUGGAGACCCCCUGGGAAUUCCGGGUGCUGUAGGUG
ensembl:rRNA 5S_rRNA 5S ribosomal RNA